rnacentral:rRNA from 1 species
UGGGGAAUAUUGCACAAUGGGCGAAAGCCUGACCCAGCAACGCCGCGUGAAGGAUGAAGUAUUUCGGUAUGUAAACUUCGAAAGAAUAGGAAGAAUAAAUGACGGUACUAUUUAUAAGGUCCGGCUAACUACGUGCCAGCAGCCGCGGUAAUACGUAGGGACCAAGCGUUGUUCGGAUUUACUGGGCGUAAAGGGCGCGUAGGCGGCAAUUCAAGUCAUCUGUGAAAUCUCCGGGCUUAACUCGGAACGGUCAGAUGAUACUGCUUUGCUAGAGUGCAGAAGGGGCAAUCGGAAUUCUUGGUGUAGCGGUGAAAUGCGUAGAUAUCAAGAGGAACACCUGAGGUGAAGACGGGUUGCUGGGCUGACACUGACGCUGAGGCGCGAAAGCCAGGGGAGCAAACGGGAUUAGAUACCCCUGUAGUCCCUGAGCGGGCUGGCAAGGCGCAU